rnacentral:rRNA from 1 species
UACGUAGGGUGCGAGCGUAAUCGGAAUUACUGGGCGUAAAGCGUGCGCAGGCGGUUUUGUAAGCCAGGUGUGAAAUCCCCGGGCUCAACCUGGGAAUGGCAUUUGGGACUGCAAGGCUGGAGUGCGGCAGAGGAGACUGGAAUUCCUGGUGUAGCAGUGAAAUGCGUAGAUAUCAGGAGGAACACCGAUGGCGAAGGCAGGUCUCUGGGCUGACACUGACGCUCAUGCACGAAAGCGUGGGGAGCGAAACAACGG